rnacentral:misc_RNA from 1 species
UAAAGAGGCCAUGAAGAAUAUGAAUUUAUGGGGAGCUUGCCACUUAGAAAGUAUCCCUGUAAAAAUAUGGAAGUGUCUUGUGGAGAUUGGAAUAGCUUAGCGAACCAAGCUGCUCAAUGGCAUAAUAAAAUCUAGAAAGAUAUCAAAUGGACGUAGAAAGAGCACUUUGGCUUCUAACUUUAAGAACAAAGGAGACAUCCAAAAGUUAUCCAAAUUAGAGUGAUAUUAAAUUAGAGAGUCACAUGGAACUAUGGGAAAGCAAUUAAACGUAGACUUAGAGACACUAUUAAAGUAUCAGAGAAUUAGUUUGGCUUUAUGCCUAGUAGAUGUACAAUAGAGCCUAUCUUUCUAUUAAGAAAAUUACUUGAAAUUUAUUAGGAAAGGAAGAAGAAUCUCCAAAUUAUAUUUAUUGAAUUAGAAAAAGCAUAAGAUUAAGGGAAAUUCUUUGGUAGAUGCUAAAGAACAAAUAUUUCAUCUCAAAUUUAUAAAUAUCAUUAUUGACAUGUAUGAGGGGACAAUCACAAGUGCAAGAACAAUGGGAUGGGAUAUGGACAAGUUCCUUACAUAUAACAGUAAGUUUACAUCAGGGGUCAGUUUUGGGUUUUUGAUAGUUGCCUAGGAUGUCAUACCUUUAUCAUUGAAUACUUAGUGUU